rnacentral:miRNA from 1 species
UUAGUCUCAUGAUCAGACACA